rnacentral:rRNA from 1 species
AACGAACGCUGGCGGCAGGCUUAACACAUGCAAGUCGAACGCCCCGCAAGGGGGGUGGCAGACGGGUGAGUAACGCGUGGGAAUCUACCUAGUUCUACGGAACAACAGAGGGAAACUUCUGCUAAUACCGUAUACGCCCUAAGGGGGAAAGAUUUAUCGGAAUUAGAUGAGCCCGCGUAAGAUUAGCUAGUUGGUGGGGUAAUGGCCUACCAAGGCGACGAUCUUUAGCUGGUCUGAGAGGAUGAUCAGCCACACUGGGACUGAGACACGGCCCAGACUCCUACGGGAGGCAGCAGUGGGGAAUAUUGGACAAUGGGCGCAAGCCUGAUCCAGCCAUGCCGCGUGAGUGAUGAAGGCCUUAGGGUUGUAAAGCUCUUUCAGUGGGGACGAUAAUGACGGUACCCACAGAAGAAGCCCCGGCUAACUACGUGCCAGCCGCCGCUGUAAAAC